UACAGGAGGGGGCAAGCGUUGUUCGGAAUUACUGGGCGUAAAGGGCGCGUAGGCGGCCGCCUAAGUCAGGGGGUGAAAUCCUGGAGCUCAACUCCAGAACUGCCUUUGAUACUGGCGAUCUCGAGUCCGGGAGAGGUGAGUGGAACUGCGAGUGUAGAGGUGAAAUUCGUAGAUAUUCGCAAGAACACCAGUGGCGAAGGCGGCUCACUGGCCCGGUACUGACGCUGAGGUGCGAAAGCGUGGGGAG
rnacentral:rRNA from 1 species